rnacentral:rRNA from 1 species
UACGUAGGGUGCGAGCGUUAAUCGGAAUUACUGGGCGUAAAGCGUGCGCAGGCGGUUUUGUAAGACAGAUGUGAAAUCCCUGGGCUUAACCUAGGAACUGCGUUUGUGACUGCAAGACUUGAGUGUGGCAGAGGGGGGUGGAAUUCCACGUGUAGCAGUGAAAUGCGUAGAGAUGUGGAGGAACACCGAUGGCGAAGGCAGCCCCCUGGGUUAACACUGACGCUCAUGCACGAAAGCGUGGGUAGCAAACAGGAUUAGAUACCCCCGUAGUCC